rnacentral:lncRNA from 1 species
GGCGAGGCUGAAGCAAGCGCCUUUUGUUUCCUCAGAGGACAGUUCUCCAGCCGCAGGCUCUGAGUCAAAUUUCUAUUUACCAUACAUCCCAGCAGCAAUGUCCUGUCCACACACCAGCCAAAAGAAAACCCUUGGUGUUAAAAUUCUUCAGAGGACUUUUAGAUCCAGGUCUUCUUUCGGCUUCGAUACCACAGUGGCGUUAGCCAUCAUUUUUAUACAACCACAUGUUAUUGAAGUCACCUGAUGGUCAGUUUUACAAACCAGGUACCUGUAAUUUGUAUAAUUUUGUAUAUGCUCUGGCGUCCCAUGGAAGGGUAGAAUACCUGUGUGUUGGUGUCCUCACCUGUGACAUUAGGAUGCUUGAGUUCCUGGCCUCUUCUAUGUUGAUGUUUCUGUGGCUAAGCCCUGCACGUGUCAUUUCUGAAAAGCCUUAAAUCUUAGAGAAGUCACAUCGCAGGGUGUCAGUGUGACAGGCUGCCUGGGAACCGUGAGCCCUUUUGUAAGCUGGAAGCAUUUCUCUUACUACUGUUACUUUUCAUAGUUUUCAGUUCACAGCUGCCAAAGCCUCCCAGAAAAGCCGUGCCUUAGUACUACCUUGUAGCCGCCAGCCUUUUCUCAGCCUGUUCUGGGUGCCCACUUGCUAAUUGGCCCCGUAUCAGAAGCAGGACAAGCCAAAAUCCUUCUCAUUUGUGUUUCAAAAGCCCGUUUUUAAAUCCAGCUCUAUAGGAAGCUGAUGACUUGGUUUCAAACAACCUGAAUCAGAACCCAAGUCGAUUCUUUGACCAUGCUCUCACGAACGUAUCCAUACCAAAACUAAAGGCUGCACCUCCGCAGCUUGCUAUGAAGAGCGAAUUGUACUUUUCAUUGAUGCCUUUUUCAAUCCAUGACCAAAUACUUAGCUAUUUGUGAAUCUUCUGCACUCCAGCUUGAAAGUGCCUUUGGCUCGAGAUUCCAGCUUAGAAAGUGCCACCAUAAUAACGACAAUUUGUAGAGAGACCAAAAAUAUUUCGAGAUCACCAUAAUGCCUUUGGUUAACCGGGAUGAAUAACCAACCGCAGGCUUGUAUUCAUGAGAGCACCGAGCAACGUGUGGUCCCUGCCUGCUGUGAGUCUGCCUGCCAAUGGGGAACCCCACCACCACUGUCCUGUACAGCAGUGUGGCAGCGGGGAGCCCUGCGAACUCUUGUGUCUGUGUAUGCCGCCUCUCCCGGCAUGUCCACCAACUCAUCACCCGGCUCUGCAUCCCUGGGAAGGAACUUAUGCGCAAGCACCGAAUCCCGGCCAGUGGGCAGACACCAUGGCUCUGCCUUCCCCCACUGUGUCCAUGUCCAGACUGUGGAGACUCAUCCACUGGAACGACAGUGUGCACUUGCCUGCCUACACGUUUGGUUGUUGGAAGCCUCGCAUUGAGAUGACAGUGCAGAACAAAAAUUAAAAAUGGGUUCAUUAGGGUCAUUGCAGUUGAAGUGUCUCUGGGCUGUUUUGCUGGCUCUGGAUGUCCGAAUGUGCUGUGAGGGACUUGCGAAGAGCACACCAUUUGCAACUCGGCAUUUUCAAGGACAUUCUAGCCCUCAGCCAACUCUUUAAAGUGUGUGUCAGCUUAGAGUAAAACCUUUUUUUUUUUAAUCUGGAAACCCCAUACUGUAAGGAGAAAGAACAAAGGAGGCAAAAAGAAGCC